rnacentral:sRNA from 1 species
AGCUGAUGAUGGUUGCUUCUGGCUCUAUGAUCGGCUGUUUCUCCGGAGGUUUGUUAAACUUCCCACCUCAGGGGCCCUGGUCUUCCAGCGGCCCCUCUUU